GGGCCCAAGGCAUAGGUGGGAAAUGGAGGCCCUGAGACAUUGCCUGGGGUCAGGUGGCCAGUGGAUAGAAGGGCUAAGGUGAACACUCCCUUCCCGCAUGCCUCCUUGCUCCUUUUACAAGGCUGAAGGCAGGCUGGAAGUGUGGGGCAAGAAGGAAAAAUCAAUGAUCCUGCUUGGGGCCUGGAAAGAGAGAGGGCUGAGAGCGCUUCCCUCUCACGCUAGGAAAGAGCCGUCCUCACUGUCUGUCCUCUGCCCCCAGGUUGGCCGGAGAUGGAGUGGGAGCCGUGAAUAUCUCUGUGGUGAAUUCCACUGGUGGCAGUAACAGUGGCGGUGGCAUUGGGCUGACCCUCGGGGGAACCAUGGGCAGCAAUGCCCUGAGCUUCUCCAGCAGUGCGGGUCCUGGGUCCCUGAAGGCUUACUCCAUCCGGACCGCAUCUGCCAGUCGCAGGAGUGCCCGCAACUGAGCCGCCUCCCACCACUCCAUUCCCCUGGCCACCGCCCACAGUCACAAGAAGAUUCCCAUCCCUGCCUCCCAUGCCUGGUCCCAAGACCAUGGGACAGUCUGGGAAGUGAUGUCAGAAUAGCUUCCAAUAAAGCAGCCUCAUUCUGAAGCCUGAGUGAUCCACGUG
rnacentral:sRNA from 1 species